CCGACGAGUGGCGGACGGGUGAGUAACACGUAGGAAUCUGCCAAACAGUGGGGGACAACCCGGAGAAAUCCGGGCUAAUACCGCAUACGCCCUACGGGGGAAAGCGGGGGACCUUCGGGCCUCGCGCUGUUUGAGGAGCCUGCGUCGGAUUAGCUUGUUGGUGAGGUAAAGGCUCACCAAGGCGACGAUCCGUAGCUGGUCUGAGAGGAUGAUCAGCCACACUGGGACUGAGACACGGCCCAGACUCCUACGGGAGGCAGCAGUGGGGAAUAUUGCACAAUGGGCGAAAGCCUGAUGCAGCCAUACCGCGUGGGUGAAGAAGGCCUUAGGGUUGUAAAGCCCUUUCAGCAGGGAAGAAAGGUGCGGGGUUAAUAACCCCGUAAUUUGACGGUACCUGAAUAAGAAGCACC
rnacentral:rRNA from 1 species